rnacentral:rRNA from 1 species
AUUGAACGCUGGCGGCAUGCUUUACACAUGCAAGUCGAACGGUAACAGGCCUUCGGGUGCUGAUGAGUGGAGAACGGGUGCGUAAUGCAUCGGAAUGUGCCCAGAGGUGGGGGAUAACGCAGCGAAAGCUGUGCUAAUACAGCAUGUGAUCUGAGGAUGAAAGCGGGGGAACAAGCAGCAAUGUUUGGCCUCGCGCCUCUGGAGCGGCCGAUGUCAGAUUAGGUAGUUGGUGGGGUAAAGGCCCACCAAGGCGACGAUCUGUAGCUGGUCUGAGAGGAUGAACAGGCACCACUGAAACGGGACAACGGCCCGAACUCCUAGGGAGGCCAGAGUGGGGAAAUUUGGACAAAUGGCGGAAACCCUAUUCAAGCAAUGCGCGGUGCGGAAAGAGGGCCUUCGGUUGGUAAACCGCUUUUGUACGGAACAAAAAGGCUAUGUCUAAUACCUGGGGCUGAGAACGGAACCGUAGAAAAAAGCACCGCCAAACUCCUU